AGGGAACAUUAUAGAGUUGUGAAAAACUCCCCAACCCAUGUGAACUACUNUNUGCCUCGGCGGAGCCUACCCUGGAGCGAGCUACCCGGGAGCGGUCCGCCGGUGGAUUUUAAACUCUUGUCAUUUCGGCGAAUCUGAGCGUCUUAUUUAAAAUAAGUUAAAACUUUCAACAACGGAUCUCUUGGUUCUGGCAUCGAUGAAGAACGCAGCGAAAUGCGAUAAGUAAUGUGAAUUGCAGAAUUCAGUGAAUCAUCGAAUCUUUGAACGCACAUUGCGCCCAUUAGUAUUCUAGUGGGCAUGCCUGUUCGAGCGUCAUUUCAACCCCUAAGCCCAGCUUAGUGUUGGGAAUCUACUGUUUGGGCGGACCUACCCUGUAGCGUCUCACCCUGUAGCUCCUAAAAGUCAACGGCGGAACUCUGGUGUCCUCUGAGCGUAGUAAUUUAUCUCGCUUUUGUCAGGCACUGUAGCUUUUGCCGCUAAACCCCCUAUUUCUAAUGGUUGACCUCGGAUCAGGUAGGAAUACCCGCUGAACUUAAGCAUAUCAAUAAGCGGAGGAAAAGAAACCAACAGGGAUUGCCUUAGUAACGGCGAGUGAAGCGGCAACAGCUCAAAUUUGAAAUCUGGCCGUCGGGUCCGAAUUGUAAUUUGUAGAGGAUGCUUUUGGUUAGGUACCUUCCGAGUUCCCUGGAACGGGACGCCUUAGAGGGUGAGAGCCCCGUACGGUUGGAUGCCGAGCCUUUGUAAAGCUCCUUCGACGAGUCGAGUAGUUUGGGAAUGCUGCUCUAAAUGGGAGGUAAAUUUCUUCUAAAGCUAAAUACCGGCCAGAGACCGAUAGCGCACAAGUAGAGUGAUCGAAAGAUGAAAAGUACUUUGAAAAGAGGGUUAAACAGCACGUGAAAUUGUUGAAAGGGAAGCGUUUAUGACCAGACUUUUUCUAGGCGGAUCAUCCGGUGUUUUCACCGGUGCACUUUGCCUAGUAGAGGCCAGCAUCGGUUUCUGUAGGAGGAUAAAACUGUCAGGAAUGUGNCUCUCUUUGGGAGUGUUAUAGCCUGACAGAUAAUACUCUUGGGGGGACCGAGGUUCGC
rnacentral:rRNA from 1 species